rnacentral:rRNA from 1 species
GAUGAACGCUAGCGGCAGGCCUAAUACAUGCAAGUCGGACGGGAUUCAGGAGCUUGCUUCUGAUGAGAGUGGCGCACGGGUGCGUAACACGUAUGUAACCUACCUUUAUCAGGGGGAUAGCCUCUCGAAAGAGAGAUUAAGCCCGCAUAAAAUCACAGCACAGCAUUGUGUAAUGAUCAAAUAUUUAUAGGAUAAAGAUGGGCAUGCGGAACAUUAGCUAGAUGGCGGGGUAACGGCCCACCAUGGCGACGAUGUUUAGGGGAUCUGAGAGGAUGGCCCCCCACGCUGGUACUUGGACACGGACCAGACUCCUACGGGAGGCAGCAGUAAGGAAGAGUGGGCAAUGGGCGGAAGCCUGAACCAGCCAUGCCGCGUGCAGGAAGACGGCCCUACGGGUUGUAAACUGCUUUUAUACGGGAAUAAACCCAGAUACGUGUAUCUGGCUGAAUGUACUGUAAGAAUAAGGAUCGGCUAACUCCGUG